rnacentral:snoRNA from 1 species
GCGUAUGAUUAAACAUUUUUAACCCCGAGCAUCGGCCCUUGCGUAAGGGCCGCGCUGACGAUUAAAAACGCAACAACAACACUCUAAUUUUUUGCUGACG